AUGGACACCCGUCAUUAUGUUCUUGGAUGGAGCUUUGGCAUGAAUGGGCAAGCAGCUCCGUCCAUUGACAUCUCCAAGCUUCCAAAGGUUCCUCGUCUACGACAAAAGGGCCAGUCCAUGCUCUUGGCGAUCAUCCUCCCAAUAGCCACCGCGGCACUGAUAAUCUCUAUCGGCACCAUUGUCACUCUGAUGGUGCGAAGAAAAAGGAGGUAUAGGGAGGUGCGCGAGGAUUGGGAGAGCGAGUUUGGUCCACACUGGUUCUCGUACAAGGAUUUGUUCAAGGCUACUCAGGGAUUUAAGAGCAAGAACCUAGUUGGAGCUGGAGGGUUUGGGGAGGUAUACAGAGGGGUGCUUAAACUGUCCAAGAAGGAGAUUGCCGUGAAGAGGAUGUCCCAUGAGUCAAGACAAGGGAUGAAGGAGUUCAUCACCGAGGUUGUUAGCAUUGGCCGGUUGCGGCAUCGCAACCUAGUCCAGCUACUUGGCUAUUCCAGGCGGAAAGGUGAGCUGAUGCUGGUGUACGAUUACAUGUCAAAUGGCAGCCUUGACAAAUAUAUACACUGUCAAGGGGAUGACAAGCCCACCUUAAAUUGGGCUCAGAGGUUUCAAGUCAUCAAGGGUAUCGCUACCGGCUUGCUCUACCUCCACGAAAAGUGGGAGAAAGUUGUGGUCCACCGAGACAUCAAGGCAAGCAAUGUCCUCCUCGACCAUGAAAUGAAUGGGCGACUCGGUGACUUUGGUCUUGCACGGCUAUAUGAUCAUGGCACCGAUCCACAAAGCACACACAUGGUCGGCACAAUGGGAUACCUUGCCCCCGAGCUAGUACGCACAGGCAAGGCAUCUCCUCUUACCGAUGUGUACGCCUUCGGGUGA
rnacentral:rRNA from 1 species